AUGCACUACUCCUCAUUGCUCAUUCCCACCUGUGUGAAGUGUAGAUGGAAGCUAAGUGCAUCACGAUGGAAGCUAAGUCCCCUAAGGCGCUGGAGAAUGCUGGCGGCUGUGGAGUCAUGUGUUUGCGUGCAUGACAGGUGCCAGCCAGGGAGCCGUGGGCACACCACCCUGGGAAGCCAGCACCCACAGGCCAGGACUGCAGCGUGCAGGGAUGGAUCUCUGAAGGUCACUGCUCCGCCCUGCUCUGAAGACUGUCCACCAGCAUGUCAACGCAGCUGCCCUGCGGGGGUUGAAGGGUGGGAGGACUGUCAGUCAGGAUUAAGGCCAUCUCCCCCGCCCAUCACUCCUUCUGCCAAGCCAUCACCAGGCAGCCGGGACUCACGGGCAGUGUCACCUCCGGGGCCAUGCUGGCAUCUGUAACCUCCAUCCACCGUCAAGGUCCCAUCCAGCCAGCUCCGCCCACCUGCCUGGCCCAGUCUCUUGUGAAGUUUCACGCUCCUUCCUCUUGUGCAGAGUCGGAAUUCACAGGGGUCGCCAUGCCCACAGGUACCCCAGUGGAAGUGUUGACUCUUAUUACUGGCUAGACCCAUCCAGAGGACAAACCAGCUUCAGAUAAUGCCAUCGUUAAAGUAGGUGCCACUGGGGGGUUUCCGCACUUAACUCCCCGAUGCCGUCCCCGCCAUCAACCUGAUACAGACUCCGUCCCCUGCAAGAUCGCUUCCUCUCGAGUGCAGACCAGAUCCCCCAGGGAAGAGACUCCUCGUCCUCAUCGUUGCCAAGUGACCCCGAAUAUUCCUCUCCUGCCUGUUGCAGAAAGGAAAAGUCACGUUCUGGAAGAACAGCAUUGCCCUACAAAUACAGACGAGAGACUCUGCACCUAGAACAAGAGUCCCGGAAAUUUCCAGAAGCAAAUCUUGCACUUGUGACCAUCAGAUUCCACCUGAUGCCUAAUGCACCUUCUCAAAUCUCAUCACGUGUGACAGCCGCAACACCCGGUCCAGCGGCCACAAAGGACUCUCCGCUGUGUUUCUUCUGCUUCCUUUAACGCAUGAGAGUGAAGAGAUGAGGAUGAAGGCGGGCCGAACACUGGUCUCUCUGAAUGCCCUGGACCGACAGCAGCCCUGGACGCCCACUCCCCAUCCUGUCCGUAUGCACCCUGGUGAGCGUUUUCUAGAAGCUCCCAUUGUUCCGUGUUUGUAGGUGUGAUGUGUGCCACCUCUGAGGCUGUCGUAGCUUCUGCCUCCUCUGUCUGCAGAGAGGCCACAAAGACAGAGCUGAGAAAUUAUGGCUAUCCCAGAAAAUAAAAUAUUUUUUGAAACCA
rnacentral:lncRNA from 13 species